CAUGUACUGUGUAGCCUACUGUCAGCAGGCAGAAUCAAAUCAGACCAGAACGGAGAGCGCCGAGCACUGACUUCCGUCCUCUCCUGCCUGAAGAGCUCCACUCAAACAUGGUUCCUCCCGUACAGGUCUCGCCGCUUAUCAAGACAGCAAGAUGGUCAGCCUUGCUAGUUGGUUUAAUUUAUGGGAAGCAGAGAUAUGAUUAUCUGAAGCCCAUUGCUGCUGAAGAAAGGAGGAUUGAGGAGGAAGAGAAGAAACUCAGGGAAGAGCAAGAGCGCAUUUACAAACAGCUUUCUGAAGCAAACUCUGACACCAUUCUGAAGUAAAUCUCCCUGAUGUAUCCAUUCCAGCACCAGAUGAAAUGAAUCACAAUAAACCUAAUUUUAUUUUUCAAUAAAGACGGAUAGUAAAAAAUA